UCAGCAUAAACAAGCAGUAGGAAAUCCA
rnacentral:piRNA from 1 species